rnacentral:rRNA from 1 species
AUUGAACGCUGGCGGCAGGCUUAACACAUGCAAGUCGAGCGGAGAUGAGGUGCUUGCACCUUAUCUUAGCGGCGGACGGGUGAGUAAUGCUUAGGAAUCUGCCAUUUAGUGGGGGACAACAUUCCGAAAGGAAUGCUAAUACCGCAUACGUCCUACGGGAGAAAGCAGGGGAUCUUCGGACCUUGCGCUAAAUGAUGAGCCUAAGUCGGAUUAGCUAGUUGGUGGGGUAAAGGCCUACUAAGGCGACGAUCUGUAGCGGGUCUGAGAGGAUGAUCCGCCACACUGGGAGUGGGACACGGCCCAGACUCCUACAGGAGGCAGCAGUGGGGAAUAUUGGACAAUGGGCGGAAGCCUGAUCCAGCCAUGCCGCGUGUGUGAAGAAGGCCUUUUGGUUGUAAAGCACUUUAAGCGAGGAGGAGGCUACUAGUACUAAUACUACUGGAUAGUGGACGUUACUCGCAGAAUAAGCACCGGCUAACUCUGUGCCAGCAGCCGCCGUAACAC